rnacentral:lncRNA from 1 species
UGCUGCAACUUUUUUAAUUUAAUGAAUAUUCUGGGACAAUUUAUUAGUGAACAUAUUGAUUUCAGCGUUUGCCGUGUUCCAACGUUGUCCCAUGUGUGCGCCCAGAGCCUGCCUGGCCUGGGCUCGAGCCGCACGUUGUUGUUGCAAAGUUUAUACGGUAGUUACCAACAUAAAUAGCAGCAAUUUGGCCAGACACCCAACAGCCCCAAACCUCAGCGAGCGGGCAAGGGAGAUAGAGAGAGGGAGAGAGAGAGAGAGAGAUCCCUGGACUGUACUGGACACUGGGGCCCGAGCCGGACGCAGUCGCAGCUUGCUGAACAAGCGUACAAUUAAUAUGCCCCAUGCCUGCCGCCGUCGCCGCCCGCACCACAGGCGGUCCCUCCACACACACACACAGGUCCACCGUGCCCGCGAUCCUGGUGAGAGACUUUUCGAAAACUUUUCAGCUUCGACUCGAACUCUGGGGGAGCGCUGUUGUUCCACGGUUUCAAUCUUUUUUUUUUAGCUUUCUUUGUUUUUGGCUCUUGGUUGCAUUUCCUUUUAUUUUGUUUUGGAUCAGUCGAAAGCUG